rnacentral:rRNA from 1 species
UACGAAGGGGGCUAGCGUUGCUCGGAAUCACUGGGCGUAAAGGGUGCGUAGGCGGGACUUUAAGUCAGGGGUGAAAUCCUGGAGCUCAACUCCAGAACUGCCUUUGAUACUGAAGAUCUUGAGUUCGGGAGAGGUGAGUGGAACUGCGAGUGUAGAGGUGAAAUUCGUAGAUAUUCGCAAGAACACCAGUGGCGAAGGCGGCUCACUGGCCCGAUACUGACGCUGAUGCACGAAAGCGUGGGGAGCAAACAGG